AGGGGUUUGGAAUCUGGGGGAGGAGGGGAUGGCUCCCUUCACUCGGUUGCGACACACCCACCUCGUCGGGCUUCUCAUUCCACCCGGCUUGCUACAUUUCAGCACUCCCAGCUGGGAAGGAAGCGAGGCUCAGUGUCAAAGUCUCUGAGGAGGUUUCCUUAAUCCUGUCCUCUUUAUGAAGUGGUGACCAAAGAAGUAGGCACAUGUGUGUGUACAGGAGGAGUUCGUGCCACAAAGGAAACGAUGCUGAUGAAGCACUGGAGCAGAAGCCUCCCGAGCCCUCUUAUGCUGGCAGCGAUAAUCUGCCUCUUCUCUGGCACAGUUGCUAAGCAAGCAGAGAAUGGGCCCCAUCAGGUGAACGGGGUCCUGGGAGGAACAGCCUUUCUUCCUGUAACACUGAAAGUAGGAAAAGUAGCACGCCACAUAGAAUGGACCUUCCAGAACACCAGUCAUAGGCGUGUGAUUGCCCAGUUUGAGAAUGGAGAACUGGAGCUGCCUAAUUCCAGGGACGGAUUUGGAUUGCAGCUAGAAAGGGCCAACGAGACCACCCUGAAGAUCAAGGACCUGAAGAUGGAAGAUGCUGGCAAGUAUAAGGCUCAUGUGAAACUUGGUACAACAGGAAUUCAAGAUGCCAGCUUCAACCUUGCUGUUUAUGAGCCAGUUCCAGAACCUAAGAUACUCUACAAUCUAACCAGAACUCCAGACCGGUGCAAUGUGACCCUGCAGUGUCAGGUGUCAGGAAACGGGGGAUUUAACGUCACCUGGAAAAGAGGGGAUCGUCCACUCAGGGCCUGGGAAGAAGGGCCUGGGGGCUGGUAUCAGCUAUCUGGCAAUGGCAGAGACCUCCGCUUGUUGCUCUGGCCACCCAGUUCUUCAGACUCUGACUUCAGCUGCCAGGUCAGCAACCCGGCAGAUUGUAAACAGAGCCUGGUCAACUUGCGCAGCAUCUGUCCCAAUGCAGGCAAAAGUGUGCACCUUGGAGGGUGUGGUUACUUGUUGCUUUUGUGUUGCUGGAUCUCAUUGUGGCUGCAGCAUUUGGGAUUAUCUGGCUAAAGAAGGAAGGAAGAAGGCUAGCAAAAGGAGGUAGGAAUAAGGCUGAACCAAAGCUCAUUUUUAAAAAACAAAUCUGCUUGAAAUCCAGAGACAAGGAUGAAAAGGAAAGUGAUUUGCAGCUCAGGAUUCCUAAAGAACUGCCAUAUUCCAUACGAGCCUCAGCCUGCCAAAGAGCUGAGUUCUGCAAAAAAACCAAACCCUUCUCAGCUUGCCCCAACCUUGAGAGAUGGAGGCGAACAACCAGGAAAACAGCCUUUCUGAUGGUGUGGACCCCCUGCUAACAGAGCAAAGAAGCACCGUUUUCAAAGUGGAGAUUCUCUUUACUUAGCAACUGGGGAGAGCAACUGGCCUUAUCCACCCCCAGCACAGCAUCCCUCCAGUGACUGUUGCUAGUGUCUCUCUUAGGUUUAUUUUUAGAGUGUGAGCCCUUUGGGGACAGGAGAUCAUCUUAUUUAUUUGUUAUUUCUCUGUGUAAACUGCCCUGAGCCAGUUUUGGAAAAGCAGAAUAGAAAUCAAAUAAAUAAAUAAAUAAAUAAAUAAAUAAUAUUGGAGCUCCCUCUCUGGGUUGGGAGCGUUAUCCAGACUUUUCUUCACUGACCUUGGAAUCUUCGUCGUUUUUUGCUCAGUGUCCAGAUAUUUUCACAUGGCUCUUCUGUUUUAUUAAGGAUGGUUUAUAUAAUGCUGCUCCAUAUUUUGUAUGUGUAUUCUCCCCCUUCCACUGCUUUUAAAGAUUUUAGGUAAUUUUGUGAACUUUUGUCUUUAAUUUCUGUAACCCACAUUGGGAAUUGGUUUUAAUUGCAAAAAAGGGCUGAAAAGAAAAUCUCAAGUAAAAUUUUGUUUGUUACUGUAUUGUAACACUAGAUGGCAUCUAUUUGCCAGUAAAUGACGAAAUAAAAGCUUAGAGGCGUACAGAA